rnacentral:rRNA from 1 species
UACGUAGGGCGCAAGCGUUGUCCGGAAUUAUUGGGCGUAAAGAGCGUGUAGGCGGCCAGGUAGGUCCGUUGUGAAAACUCGAGGCUUAACCUCGAGACGUCGAUGGAAACCAUCUGGCUAGAGUCCGGAAGAGGAGAGUGGAAUUCCUGGUGUAGCGGUGAAAUGCGCAGAUAUCAGGAAGAACACCCGUGGCGAAGGCGGCUCUCUGGGACGUGACUGACGCUGAGACGCGAAAAGCGUGGGGAGCAAACAGG